GACGAACGCUGGCGGCGUGCUUAACACAUGCAAGUCGAACGGUGAUCUUGGGAGCUUGCUCCUGGGUGAUCAGUGGCGAACGGGUGAGUAACACGUGAGUAACCUGCCCCUGACUCUGGAAUAACUUCGGGAAACCGAAGCUAAUACCGGAUAUGACACAGAGCCGCAUGGUUUCUGUGUGGAAAGUUUUUUCGGUUGGGGAUGGACUCGCGGCCUAUCAGCUUGUUGGUGAGGGAAUGGCUCGCCAAGGCGACGACGGGUAGCCGGCCUGAGAGGGCGACCGGCCACACUGGGACUGAGACACGGUCCAGACUCCUACGGGAGGCAGCAGUGGGGAAUAUUGCACAAUGGGCGAAAGCCUGAUGCAGCGACGCCGCGUGAGGGAUGAAGGCCUUCGGGUUGUAAACCUCUUUCAGUAGGGAAGAAGCGCAAGUGACGGUACCUACAGAAGAAGCACCGGCUAACUACGUGCCAGCAGCCGCGGUAAAAC
rnacentral:rRNA from 1 species